rnacentral:rRNA from 1 species
AUUGAACGCUGGCGGCAGGCCUAACACAUGCAAGUCGAACGAGUGGCGGACGGGUGAGUAAUGUCUGGGAAACUGCCCGAUGGAGGGGGAUAACUACUGGAAACGGUAGCUAAUACCGCAUACCAUCGGAUGUGCCCAGCUGGGCUUAGCUAGUUGGUGGGGUAACGGCUCACCUAGGCGACGAUCCCUAGCUGGUCUGCGAGGAUGACCAGCAACACUGGAACUGAGACACGGUCCAGACUCCGACGGGAGGCAGCAGUGGGGAAUGUUGCACAAUGGGCGCAAGGCUGAUACAGCCAUGCCGCGUGGAUGAAGAAGGCCUUCGGGUUGUAAAGUACUUUCAGCGAGGAGGCGUUACUCGCAGAAGAAGCACCGGCUAACUCCGUGCCAGCAGCCGCGGUAAUUC